AGGCUGAGGGAGCUGCACCUGAGGAAACCCAGGAGGCAAAGGUGGUCCUGGUCAGGAUGAUGAGGAGGUCCGUGUGGCUGGAGCAGGUGAGCUAGGUGGAGAGAGGCCGUAGAUGAGGGCAGAGCUGCUGCGGGAGCCAAACGUGUAAGGAUCUUUUCGGGCAGUGAGAGGACGUUGGUUUCUCACAGCAGAGAAGGGACAUCAUCUGACAUAUUUUAAAAGUAUCUCUCCGGCUCCCUUGUGGACUGUAAGGGACCAAGAGUUGAAACAGGCACCCAGGAGGAGUCCUUCCAGCAACUGAGAGGACUUGGUCCGAUUCUACCUCCGGAACAAUGCUCAGCCCACAGCCCUCAUUCCCUCCGUGAUGAACAGUAACUGUGGACUUUUGACCUUCCUCUUGAGCUUGGUCUGAGUCUUGGCAUUUACAACCACGGCUCUAGUUAAGAAACGUCAACAUGGC
rnacentral:lncRNA from 1 species